rnacentral:lncRNA from 1 species
UCCGAAUCCCUUCCGGAUCCCAAUCGAGUUUCCGCAAGAGCUGAACUUCUACUACGAGCGGUCUACUCCAAAUUCUUACAGCGGGCUGGCUACCCCAGAUAUCUACUGUAAGCAAAUUUCAUUUGAGCCUCUACUAUAAAUAAAUUUCUUCCGAACUUCUAUUACAGGUAGACUUCAGCCAAACUUCUUUGUAGCGGAUCCC